rnacentral:rRNA from 1 species
AUUGAACGCUGGCGGCAGGCCUAACACAUGCAAGUCGAGCGGUAGCACAGAGAGCUUGCUCUCGGGUGACGAGCGGCGGACGGGUGAGUAAUGUCUGGGAAACUGCCUGAUGGAGGGGGAUAACUACUGGAAACGGUAGCUAAUACCGCAUAACGUCGCAAGACCAAAGUGGGGGACCUUCGGGCCUCAUGCCAUCAGAUGUGCCCAGAUGGGAUUAGCUAGUAGGUGGGGUAAUGGCUCACCUAGGCGACGAUCCCUAGCUGGUCUGAGAGGAUGACCAGCCACACUGGAACUGAGACACGGUCCAGACUCCUACGGGAGGCAGCAGUGGGGAAUAUUGCACAAUGGGCGCAAGCCCGAUGCAGCCAUGCCGCGUGUGUGAAGAAGGCCUUCGGGUUGUAAAGCACUUUCAGCGGGGAGGAAGGCGGUGAGGUUAAUAACCUCAUCGAUUGACGUUACCCGCAGAAGAAGCACCGGCUAACUCCGUGCCAGCAGCCGCGGUAAUACGGAGGGUGCAAGCGUUAAUCGGAAUUACUGGGCGUAAGGCGCACGCAGGCGGUCUGUCAAGUCGGAUGUGAAAUCCCCGGGCUCAACCUGGGAACUGCAUUCGAAACUGGCAGGCUAGAGUCUUGUAGAGGGGGGUAGAAUUCCAGGUGUAGCGGUGAAAUGCGUAGAGAUCUGGAGGAAUACCGGUGGCGAAGGCGGCCCCCUGGACAAAGACUGACGCUCAGGUGCGAAAGCGUGGGGAGCAAACAGGAUUAGAUACCCUGGUAGUCCACGCCGUAAACGAUGUCGAUUUGGAGGUUGUGCCCUUGAGGCGUGGCUUCCGGAGCUAACGCGUUAAAUCGACCGCCUGGGGAGUACGGCCGCAAGGUUAAAACUCAAAUGAAUUGACGGGGGCCCGCACAAGCGGUGGAGCAUGUGGUUUAAUUCGAUGCAACGCGAAGAACCUUACCUGGUCUUGACAUCCACAGAACUUUCCAGAGAUGGAUUGGUGCCUUCGGGAACCGUGAGACAGGUGCUGCAUGGCUGUCGUCAGUUCGUGUUGUGAAAUGUUGGGUUAAGUCCCGCAACGAGCGCAACCCUUAUCCUUUGUUGCCAGCGGUCCGGCCGGGAACUCAAAGGAGACUGCCAGUGAUAAACUGGAGGAAGGUGGGGAUGACGUCAAGUCAUCAUGGCCCUUACGACCAGGGCUACACACGUGCUACAAUGGCAUAUACAAAGAGAAGCGACCUCGCGAGAGCAAGCGGACCUCAUAAAGUAUGUCGUAGUCCGGAUUGGAGUCUGCAACUCGACUCCAUGAAGUCGGAAUCGCUAGUAAUCGUAGAUCAGAAUGCUACGGUGAAUACGUUCCCGGGCCU